rnacentral:rRNA from 1 species
AGAGUUUGAUUAUGGCUCAGGACGAACGCUGGCGGCGUGGAUAAGUCAUGCAAGUCGAGGGCCCCGCAAGGGGACCGGCAGACGAGGUAGUAAUAAUCAGGUACGUACCCAGGGGUCGGGCAUAGCUCGCCGAAAGGCGGGGUAAUUCCCGAUAGUCUCGCAAGAGUAAAGCCAUAUAUUUAUAUAUUGGUCGCCCCCGGAAUGGCCUGAUCGGUAUCAGCUAGUUGGUAAGGUAACGGCUUACCAAGGCUAUGACGCCUAGGGGACCUGAGAGGGUGACCCCCACCGAUGGGACUGAGAUACGGCCCAUACACCUACGGGUGGCUGCAGACGAGAAUAUUCGACAAUGGGCGAAAGCCUGAUCGAGCGACGCCGCGUGGAGGAUGAAGUGCUUCGGUAUGUAAACUCCUUUUGCCAGGGAAAAAGUUAUUGAUUGUACCUGGAGAAUAAGACGUUGCUAAACUCGUGCCAGCAGCAGCGGUAAUACGAGUGCGUCAAGCGUUAUCCGGAAUCAUUGGGCGUAAAGGGUGCGUAGGUGGCGAUGUUAGUCUCGCGUAAAUCUUUCGGCUCAACCGAGAGGCUGCGUGGGAAACGGCAUUGCCUGAGGCCGGGAGAGGUUUCUGGAACUCUAAGUGUAGCGGUGAAAUGCGUUGAUAUUUAGGGGAACACCAAAAGCGAAGGCAAGAAACUGGCCCGGUCCUGACACUGAAGCACGAAAGCGUGGGUCGCGAAUGGGAUUAGAUACCCCAGUAGUCCACGCCCUAAACGAUGAUAACUAGAUAUGGGGAGUAUCGACCCUCUCCGUGUCGUAGCAAACGCGUUAAGUUAUCCGCCUGGGUAGUACGGCCGCAAGGUUGAAACUCAAAGGAAUAGACGGGGACUUGCACAAGCGGUGGAACAUGUGGCUCAAUUCGACGAUAAACGAAGAACCUCACCAGGCCUAGAAAUCCAGACGAAUACCUGCAGAAACGUAGGUAGUCGCAGACGGCUGGACAGGUGCUGCAUGGCUGUCGUCAGUUCGUGGUUUGAACUGUUCCCUUCAGUGGGGUAACGAACGCAACCCCUGUUGCCUGUUAUAAGUGUCAGGCGAGACUGGCCCCACACGGGUACGUCACAGAUUGAAGAUUAAAGAUUUAAGAUUGAAGAUUAAUUUUUUCAAUUUUCAAUCUUUAAUAUUCAAUUGUGGUUUUCCGGUGUGGGGGAGGAAGGUGGGGAUGACGCCAAGUCAGCAUGGCCCUCUGACGGCCUGGGCUGCACACGUGUUACAAUCGCAUCUACAACGGGACGCAAUGCCGCGAGGCGGAGCAAACCCUUAUAAAGGAUGCGCCAGUUCGGAUAGAAGUCUGCAACUCGACUUCUUGAAGCCGGAAUCGCUAGUAAUCGCAGGUCAGCUAUACUGCGGUGAAUACGUUCUCAAGUCUUGUACUCACCGCCCGUCAACCCAAGGGAGUCGGUGGUGCCCGAAAUCUCGCCUCGUGCGGGCCUAAGGCAAAAUCGAUGACAGGGGGUAAGUCGUAACAAGGUAACC